UCCCUGUCAGUCCAGUGGUUAAGACUCUGUGCUUCCACUGCAGGGGGCACAGGUUCGAGCCCUGUUCGGGGAA
rnacentral:tRNA from 1 species